GAUGAAUGCUGGCGGCGUGCUUAACACAUGCAAGUCGAGCGGAAACAUGCCUUCGGGUGAUGUCGAGCGGCGGACGGCUGAGGAACACGUGGGAACAUACCCCAGAGUGAGGGAUAACGCACCGAAAGGUGUGCUAAUACCGCAUAAUCUCUACGGAGUAAAGCAGUAAUGCGCUUUGGGAAUGGCCUGCGUCGGAUUAGAUAGUUGGUGAGGUAAAGGCUCACCAAGUCGACGAUCCGUAACUGGUUUGGGAGGAUGAUCAGUCAGACUGGAACUGAGAUACGGUCCAGACUCCUACGGGAGGCAGCAGUGGGGAAUCUUUCACAAUGGGCGAAAGCCUGAUGGAGCAACGCCGCGUGCGGGAUGAAGGCCUUCGGGUCGUAAACCGCUUUUAUAAGCGAGAAAUAUGAUGGUAA
rnacentral:rRNA from 1 species